rnacentral:rRNA from 1 species
AAGGUUUCNGUAGGUGAACCUGCGGAAGGAUCAUUA